rnacentral:rRNA from 1 species
UAUUGGUCAAUGGACGCAAGUCUGAACCAGCCAUGCCGCGUGAAGGAUGAAGGCCCUCUGGGUUGUAAACUUCUUUUAUCUGGGACGAAACAAGGGAAUUCUUUCCCACUUGACGGUACCAGAGGAAUAAGCACCGGCUAACUCCGUGCCAGCAGCCGCGGUAAUACGGAGGGUGCAAGCGUUAUCCGGAUUUACUGGGUUUAAAGGGUGCGUAGGUGGAUUAGUAAGUCAGGGGUGAAAUCUUCAAGCUUAACUUGGAAACUGCCUUUGAUACUAUUAGUCUUGAAUAUCCUGGAGGUGAGCGGAAUAUGUCAUGUAGCGGUGAAAUGCUUAGAUAUGACAUAGAACACCAAUUGCGAAGGCAGCUCACUACGGGAUCAUUGACACUGAGGCACGAAAGCGUGGGGAUCAAACAGG